GAACGCACAUUGCACUCCUUUGGAGUAUGCCUGUUUGAGAAUCUAUAGUAUUUAUUUUUGGUUAUUUCGCAAGAGAUAAUCAAGAGAUUUGAGGUGUCUCUUUCGAGAGUACCUUUAAUGUUAUAGCCUCUUUUGUGGUAAAACAACUCUGCAGAACAGUAUUUGAAUGGAACUUUGGUUUCUUUAAUGCCUAAUAUGCAGACUUACCUAUUGAAAAGGGGGUCCAUAAACUUAAAGUAGUACCUCGGUGCUACUUGAACCAUGGUCUCAAAUCAGGUAGGAAGACCCGCUGAACUUAAG
rnacentral:misc_RNA from 1 species